rnacentral:rRNA from 1 species
GCUGCAUGGCUGUCGUCAGCUCGUGUCGUGAGAUGUUCGGUUAAGUCCGCUAACGAGCGCAACCCUCGCUGUGUGUUAUAUGUGUCACACGGGACUGCCGGUCUUAAGCCGGAGGAAGGUGGGGAUGAUGUCAAGUCAGCAUGGCCUUUAUAUCCUGGGCUACACACACGCUACAAUGGCCAACACAAUAGGUUGCUAAGCCGCGAGGUGGCGCCAAUCCAUAAAGUUGGUCUCAGUUCAGAUUGUAGGCUGCAACCCGCCUGCAUGAAGAUGGAGUUGCUAGUAACCGCAGGUCAGCUAUACUGCGGUGAAUACGUUCCCGGGGCUU